AAUAUAAAAAUAUAUUUUUAAAAAAAAAAGACGACAAGACCCUAUUAAAUUUUACUUAUAGUUUAGCUGGGGAAGCUUUUUAAUUAAAAUUUUUUAAAUUUAAUAAAUAAAAAUCUAAUAAAAUUAAAAUUUUAAUAAAUUACUAUAGGGAUAACAGCAUUAUAUUUUUUUAAAGUUCAUAUUAAAAAAAAAGAUUGUGACCUCGAUGUUGAAUUAUAUUUUCUAUAUUUAAUGCAAUAAUUAUAAAAGUAGAUCUGUUCGAUCUUUAAAAUAUUACAUGAUUUGAGUUCAAACCGGUGUAAACCAGGUUGGUUUCUAUCUUUUUUUAUAUUUUUCUAGUACGAAAGGACAAAAAAAUUUUUAUUUUAAUAAAUUAGCAAAUAAAUGCAUUAGAUUUAGAAUCUAAAUAUAUUUAAUAAUU
rnacentral:misc_RNA from 1 species